UACGAAGGUGGCAAGCGUUAUUCGAAAUCACUGGGCUUAAAGGGCGCGUAGGCGGACAUGAAAGUGUUUUGUGAAAUCCCCCGGCUUAACCGGGGAAUUGCUUGGCAAACUACAUGUCUUGAGGCAAGCAGGGGUGUGUGGAACUCUUGGUGGAGCGGUGGAAUGCGUAAAUAUCAAGAGGAACGCCGAAGGUGAAGACAGCACACUGGACUUGUACUGACGCUGAGGCGCGAAAGCGUGGGGAGCAAACAGGAUUAGAUACCCUGGUAGUCCACGCCGUAAACGAUGUCUACUAGGUUGUGGGGGUUCUGACACCGUCACAGUCGAAGCAAAAGUGUUAAGUAGACCGCCUGGGGAGUACGGUCGCAAGGCUAAAACUCAAAGGAAUUGACGGGGGCUCACACAAGCGGUGGAGCAUGUGGAUUAAUUCGAAGCAACGCGCAGAACCUUACCUGGGUUUGACAUGCAUGGAUGCCUAUCUGGAAACAGAGUCGGCUGCCCUCGGGUGAAACUUGCACAGGUGCUGCAUGGCUGUCGUCAGCUCGUGUCGUGAGAUGUCGGGUUAAGUCCUUUAACGAGCGAAACCCUUACCGUUAGUUGCCAGCGCGUCAUGGCGGGGACUCUAGCGGGACUGCCGGUGUUAAACCGGAGGAAGGCGGGGAUGACGUCAAGUCCUCAUGGCCUUUAUGCCCAGGGCUUCACACGUGCUACAAUGGCCGUUACAGAGCGACGCAAUACCGCGAGGUGGAGCAAAUCGCAAAAAAACGGCCCCAGUUCAGAUUGCAGGCUGUCAACUCGCCUGCAUGAAGGUGGAAUCGCUAGUAAUCGCAUAUCAGCGAUGAUGCGGUGAAUGUGUUCCUGAGCCU
rnacentral:rRNA from 1 species